AGAUGGCCAAGGAGGACUCAAGGUAAUGUUUCUGUCACAUACCCACACCAGAGCAUGUCAGUCUUUUUGAGGAUUGAACAGAGUCUCCAUAGCAGACAGGACAUUAAAUUCGGUGACCGUGCUAUGAAAAUAUGCAAAGAUAAUGAAAGUUGAGCUAAGACCAGUCUGAAAGCUACAGUUACAGAGAGAGAGAAGAAGUAGAAGAAGAAAAGAAGAAGAAGAAGAAGAAGAAGAAGAAGAAGAAGAAGAAGAAGAAGAAGAAGAAGAAGAAGAA
rnacentral:lncRNA from 1 species